UAAAAGUUUUAUUUUAGCUUGAAAUAUUAAUUAAUAAUUUUAUUUUAUAUGUAAGUUUUAGCAUAAUUUUAAAUAAAUUUUAAAAAUUUAUAUUUUAUAAAUUAUUCGCAAUUUAAAGUUUUUUAAAUUUAAUAAGUUAAGAUUAAGAAAUUUAUUUUAAUAUUAACAAAAUUUGUGCCAGCAGUUGCGGUUAUACAAAUAAUAUAAUUAAUAUUUAUUAAUUAAUAAUUAAUUGUUUUAAUAAUAAAUAAAAAUUAAAUUUAUUAAGUGAAAUUUUAAAUUUAAUUAAUUUUAUUUAUAAUAUUUUGAAGUUAUUAAAUUUUUAUUUAAACUAGGAUUAGAUACCCUAUUAUUUUAAAUGUAAAUAUAUUAAUAUUAAAUUAGUAAUAGUUAUUUUCUCGAAAAUUAAAAAAUUUGGCGGUAUUUUAGUCUUUUCAGAGGAACCUGUCCUGUAAUUGAUAUUCCACGAUUAUUUUUACUUAUUUUAUUAGUUUAUAUAUCGUCGUAGUUUGAAUAUUUUUAAAGGAUUUUAAUAUUCAAAAUUUAUUAUUAUAAAUUAAAUCAGAUCAAGGUAUAGCUUAUAUUUAAGUAGAGAUGGGUUACAAUAAAUAAAUUUAUAUGAAUUUAAAAUUUAAAAUUUUUAAUGAAAGUGGAUUUGAAAGUAAUAUAAUUUAUUUAAAUUAUAUGAUUUAAGCUCUAAAAUAUGUACAUAUUGCCCGUCGCUUUCAUAUAAAGUGAAAUAAGUCGUAACAAAGUAGAUGUACUGGAAAGUGUAUCUAGAAUGG
rnacentral:ncRNA from 1 species